UGAUGAAGUGUUUGAAUAUGAAUAAACCAACUACAGCUGGUGAUUCAAGGAAACGCAAAUUUGUCACUGUCAAGUUAAAAUGUCAUGAUCAAUUGCAGUCUUGCAGAUGUUAGUUCCCAACACAACAUCAUUUUUUAAUAGCAAGCAAUAUAUUAAAACAAGCCAACUUCCUAUGGCAACAAAAGUAAAGAUACAUAUAAAAGUAUAAUACAAAGACACCAACAAAAAGGGCAUGACCAAUGUAUUCGACAGACCACGAUUCGCGAGUGCAUCCAGAGCCACCUCAGCCGCUAAAUGUUCCGCCUGCUGGAGCGUCGUGUAGUACUUAGGGCUCUCAUAUGUCUCGCCAUUAAGCAUCAUACAGUAGAGACAAAUGCUCUGUCUUGAAGAAUAUCCAACCGGAGAUCACCAAUUGAAACCUAUCCGUCUCACUCUAAAAUUCUGUAACAAAUGGUCAGGAUAGUCAUUACACGGACCGAUCUAACAACCAAUGAAACAUGCAAGUGAAGAAGUACUUACCGGAGCUUCAUCGGAGUAACCCUAGCCGCCAUCGCCGGAGGCGACAGCUAGGGUUUUCUGUAUAGUAUGGAAAACACCACCAAGGUCAGAUAAUCAUAAUCACUUACCUGCUACCACAACCUCACCAUCUUCAUCUCUAUCGAUUCAUCAGAACCGCCACAGUCAUCAUAAUCAGAGGGCAAGGCAAAUAAACAAGCAAGAGCGAAGCGAUGGAGAUGCGUCUCUUUCUCUCUCUAGAUUCGAAGCGGGGUUGUGU
rnacentral:lncRNA from 1 species